rnacentral:rRNA from 1 species
GAUGAACGCUAGCUACAGGCUUAACACAUGCAAGUCGAGGGGAAACGACAUCGAAAGCUUGCUUUUGAUGGGCGUCGACCGGCGCACGGGUGAGUAACGCGUAUCCAACCUGCCCAUCACUUGGGAAUAACCUUGCGAAAGUAAGACUAAUACCCAAUGACAUCCCACGAAGACAUCUGAAUGGGAUUAAAGAUUUAUCGGUGAUGGAUGGGGAUGCGUCUGAUUAGCUUGUUGGCGGGGUAACGGCCCACCAAGGCAACGAUCAGUAGGGGUUCUGAGAGGAAGGUCCCCCACAUUGGAACUGAGACACGGUCCAAACUCCUACGGGAGGCGGCAGUGAGGAAUAUUGGUCAAUGGGCGAGAGCCUGAACCAGCCAAGUAGCGUGCAGGAUGACGGCCCUAUGGGUUGUAAACUGCUUUUAUAAGGGAAUAAAGUGGGUCUCGUGAGACUUUUUGCAUGUACCUUAUGAAUAAGGACCGGCUAAUUCCGUG